UUUAAAAUGAGAGUUUGAUCCUGGCUCAGGACGAACGCUGGCGGCGUGCCUAAUACAUGCAAGUCGAGCGAGCGGAACUAACAGAUUUACCUCGGUAAUGACGUUAGGAAAGCGAGCGGCGGAUGGGUGAGUAACACGUGGGGAACCUGCCCCAUAGUCUGGGAUACCACUUGGAAACAGGUGCUAAUACCGGAUAAGAAAGCAGAUCGCA
rnacentral:rRNA from 1 species